rnacentral:rRNA from 2 species
ACAGGGAUUGCCCUAGUAACGGCGAGUGAAGCGGCAACAGCUCAAAUUUGAAAUCUGGCGUCUUUGGCGUCCGAGUUGUAAUUUGCAGAGGGCGCUUUGGCAUUGGCAGCGGUCCAAGUUCCUUGGAACAGGACGUCACAGAGGGUGAGAAUCCCGUACGUGGUCGCUAGCCUUUACCGUGUAAAGCCCCUUCGACGAGUCGAGUUGUUUGGGAAUGCAGCUCUAAAUGGGAGGUAAAUUUCUUCUAAAGCUAAAUACUGGCCAGAGACCGAUAGCGCACAAGUAGAGUGAUCGAAAGAUGAAAAGCACUUUGGAAAGAGAGUUAAAAAGCACGUGAAAUUGUUGAAAGGGAAGCGCUUGCAGCCAGACUUGCCUGUAGUUGCUCAUCCGGGUUUCUACCCGGUGCACUCUUCUAUAGGCAGGCCAGCAUCAGUUUGGGCGGUUGGAUAAAGGUCUCUGUCAUGUACCUCCUUUCGGGGAGAACUUAUAGGGGAGACGACAUGCAACCAGCCUGGACUGAGGUCCGCGCAUCUGCUAGGAUGCUGGCGUAAUGGCUGUAAGCGGCCCGUCUUGAAACACGGACCAAGGAGUCUAACAUCUAUGCGAGUGUUUGGGUGUCAAGCCCGAGCGCGUAAUGAAAGUGAACGGAGGUGGGAACCUUUCGGGGUGCACCAUCGACCGAUCCUGAUGUCUUCGGAUGGAUUUGAGUAAGAGCAUAGCUGUUGGGACCCGAAAGAUGGUGAACUAUGCUUGAAUAGGGUGAAGCCAGAGGAAACUCUGGUGGAGGCUCGCAGCGGUUCUGACGUGCAAAUCGAUCGUCAAAUUUGGGCAUAGGGGCGAAAGACUAAUCGAACUAUCUAGUAGCUGGUUCCUGCCGAGUU